UACAGAGGUCUCAAGCGUUGUUCGGAUUCAUUGGGCGUAAAGGGUGCGUAGGCGGCGCGGUAAGUCGGGUGUGAAAUCUUGGAGCUUAACUCCGAAGCUGCAUUCGAUACUGCCGUGCUUGAGGACUGGAGAGGAGACUGGAAUUUACGGUGUAGCGGUGAAAUGCGUAGAUAUCGUAAGGAAGACCAGUGGCGAAGGCGGGUCUCUGGACAGUUCCUGACGCUGAGGCGCGAAAGCGUGGGGAGCGAACAGG
rnacentral:rRNA from 1 species